rnacentral:siRNA from 1 species
UCAAAAUGGGUAACCCAACUCAAC